GACGAACGCUGGCGGCACGCUUAACACAUGCAAGUCGAACGAGAGAAGAGAAGCUUGCUUUUCUGAUCUAGUGGCGGACGGGUGAGUAACACGUGAGCAAUCUGCCUUUCAGAGGGGGAUACCGAUUGGAAACGAUCGUUAAUACCGCAUAAUAUAAUUGAACCGCAUGAUUUGAUUAUCAAAGAUUUAUCGCUGAAAGAUGAGCUCGCGUCUGAUUAGCUAGUUGGUAAGGUAACGGCUUACCAAGGCGACGAUCAGUAGCCGGACUGAGAGGUUAAUCGGCCACAUUGGGACUGAGACACGGCCCAGACUCCUACGGGAGGCAGCAGUGGGGAAUAUUGCACAAUGGAGGAAACUCUGAUGCAGCGAUGCCGCGUGAGGGAAGAAGGUUUUAGGAUUGUAAACCUCUGUCU
rnacentral:rRNA from 1 species